AAACAUUUGCGGUGAGGAUGUGUUCAUGACGUCAACGCAGCACAUCGCGUGACGUCACGUUCCGGUAAAUCGCCGUGUUUUGUCGCGCUCCGAUUGGAUCGCGCUCUCCGUGCCAAAAACGGUACGCUUUCGGUGUAAUGACACCAUUAAAGGACGCUGAUCCGUUCACAUCCCGCUUAAUGGCAAGCAGCUGAUAUCUGGUGGACACCGAAGCCUGUUUUUACCAAUGUAAAUUAUGAAAAAUCGGGAGUAUCAGCAAAUAGAUCCACAGGCACUCGCGACACCCACGCCGACGCCUCCAACGCGACCUCUUCCCGAGCACAGGAGCAAACGAGCUCGGAGAAAAUGGGAGGUGUUUCCCGGGAAAAACCGCUUUUGUUGUGAUGGACGCAUCAUUGUGGCGCGUCAGAGCGGCGUGUUGCCUCUCACGCUCGGGCUUAUCCUGCUCACCAGUGGACUGUUUUUCAUAUUCGACUGCCCAUUCCUGGUGAAACAUCUCACCCGCUUCAUCCCAGCAAUUGGAGGGGUCCUAUUUGUUUUUGUGAUCAUCUCUCUUCUUCAGACAAGCUUCACAGACCCUGGGAUUCUGCCCAGAGCAACUCCAGAAGAGGCUGCAGACAUUGAGAAACAGAUUGACAAGCCGACUAGCUCUUCCUCAUCUUACCGCCCCCCUCCGCGCACCAAAGAGGUCGUCAUCAACCAGCAGGUGGUUAAACUGAAGUACUGCUUUACCUGUAAGAUUUUCCGCCCUCCUCGCACCUCCCACUGUAGCCUGUGUGAUAACUGUGUGGAGCGGUUUGAUCAUCACUGCCCCUGGGUUGGGAACUGUGUGGGAAAACGCAACUAUCGCUUUUUCUACACCUUCAUCGUGUCGCUGUCUCUUCUCACAGCCUUCAUCUUUGGUUGUGUAACCACACACCUGGCUCUGAGGUCACAAGGAGGAAAUGGGCUGGUCAUCGCCAUUCAAGAAAGUCCUGCCAGUGCUCUUGAAUUAGUGGUCUGCUUUUUUUCUGUGUGGUCCAUUUUGGGCCUCUCGGGCUUCCAUACAUACCUUGUAGCUGCAAAUCUUACCACCAAUGAGGAUAUUAAAGGUUCCUGGUCAGCAAAAAGUGGAAAUGAAGAUGUUGGAAAUCCUUACAGCUAUAACAAUAUCAUCAAAAACUGCUGUGCUGUCCUCUGUGGACCCAUGCCGCCCAGUUUGAUUGACAGGCGAGGGUUUGUGCCCUCUGAUGACUCCGUUCAGACCAGCCCUGUAGAAACUCAACCUCCAGCAGCUAAAAACGACAUAAACAUGGUAGGACGAGCCAUCACCUCAGGCCGACCUUCACCACCACCACCAACUCCACCCCCUGGCCUAACCCCACAGCAACCUGACAUCAUCUCCAUUCAAAACCACUCAACAGCCUGACUCUCUGUGUCUCAUUCAAACCAAGUAUUAUCUGUUGUUUAAUGUGCUUUGGGGGACGUCCCUGUCAAACAGCAUUGGGUUUGUGGGCUGCAUCCAAGCGCGUUUGUCUCAGAUGUGUUUAGUAGAGUUGUUAGGACUGUGCUGUUUUGCUCACUUAUCUUGAUAAGGUUUAUGUGGUGUACUUGAAAGAGAGAUGCAUGCAUUCUAAGGUGCCAUAUAGAAGCCUUCCUUAUAUGGGUUAGGGUGUAGAUAGUUUACAGAAAUUGGGCAUCGCUGCUGCAUUUCAUGUUGCAGAAAUGUAAGGUGUUUUUGCAAAGAAAGAGGAAGUGAAAUGUCUGGCUUCCUGUAGCAUUAGGUGCAGGUACUAAACUGGAAAGGCACUGUUUGUGUCAGAUGGGUGUGUUUGUUUCUGAAGAGGUUUAUGUAUAGAUUUGCUGGCUCUGUUUGUCUCUGGAGACCUCUACUUCUUCUGAAAGGUUAUGAUAAGUAAUGCAUCAUGUUUGUUUAUUUAAGUUGUUUGUUAAUGCAUUACAAGUUAUUUUUAAUAUUUUUUUUUUGUGCUGUUUUCAAACAAAUCUUAAUUUGUGUUUUAUAAAAAGUUUUCUUAUACUCAGAUAUAGUCACAAACCGAAAGUGCCUCUUACCACAUCUGUAAUCAAGCAAACAGAUUUUGUGUGUUUUUCUCCGGGUUUAAUUCCCUUCAUAGAGACAGUAACUUGAUCAUGAAAAGAAAUAUUCUUCUAAUAGCUAUGUAAAAAAUUAAUCUGGUGCUCAUUGGCUUACAUAUUGGUGCUAAUUCAUCUCAGGGUGUAAUGCAAUGGCAUUGUUUACUGUUAAGGUUAUAGGGGAACAGUGUAGGAAUACAAACACAUGCCUUGUGGUUGUGUAUCUCUGCUUGUAUGUGUGUAGUGGUUUGCCGGUGAAAACGAUGAUUUCCUUGUGAGAUUUAAUGGAUAGCAGAAUGUGUGUAAAAGGGUCUUAAAUCUUCUUGAUUUUUUUUUAAUGCAGAACAAUCCUGAACAUUUCCCUGAACAUUUUGAAUAUUUGUAACAUAUUUUGCAUUUGUACUGAUGUCAAGAAUGCAUUUUGAUGUCAAAUAAAUGUUUUUCAAACUUAUAUCCCAUAAUUCCUGUGCUGCAUGUAAAUCACUGUCUUGUUUCAGUAUGCAUGAAGCUCAUGUAGAACAAGUACUUUUCAGUCCCUACAUGUUUCCCAGCAUGCAAUACAAAUAAGCAUCUGUGAUUAAGGACACUUGAAGUGCUUCUAGACAUUAACCUUAUCUCUGUGUGUGUGUGUGUGUGUGUGUGCAUGUCUGUUUAGGAAAAAGAUUGCCUGGAUUUUGCCCUGUCUUGUGCCAGUUGAUGGUUCAGUAGGCAAAGCAGGGUUUUAUGGGGAGUGCACAGAGGCUACCAAUGGUCUCGUGGAAAAUGCCUCUCACUCUCCAUUACUCACAAGCUCCUGUCCACAAGCCAAGCCCCAAGCAGUGCCACCUGUACUGGACCCUAUACCAGAGG